rnacentral:rRNA from 1 species
CUGGAGGUAUCAGAAGUGCGAAUGCUGACAUAAGUAACGAUAAAGCGGGUGAAAAGCCCGCUCGCCGGAAGACCAAGGGUUCCUGUCCAACGUUAAUCGGGGCAGGGUGAGUCGACCCCUAAGGCGAGGCCGAAAGGCGUAGUCGAUGGGAAACGGGUUAAUAUUCCCGUACUUGGUGUUACUGCGAAGGGGGGACGGAGAAGGCUAUGUUGGCCGGGCGACGGUUGUCCCGGUUUAAGCGUGUAGGUGUGUGUUCCAGGUAAAUCCGGUUCACUUUAACACUGAGGCGUGAUGACGAGGCACUACGGUGCUGAAGCAACAAAUGCCCUGCUUCCAGGAAAAGCCUCUAAGCAUCAGGUAACAUCAAAUCGUACCCCAAACCGACACAGGUGGUCAGGUAGAGAAUACCAAGGCGCUUGAGAGAACUCGGGUGAAGGAACUAGGCAAAAUGGUGCCGUAACUUCGGGAGAAGGCACGCUGACACGUAGGUGAAGUGAUUUACUCAUGGAGCUGAAGUCAGUCGAAGAUACCAGCUGGCUGCAACUGUUUAUUAAAAACACAGCACUGUGCAAACACGAAAGUGGACGUAUACGGUGUGACGCCUGCCCGGUGCCGGAAGGUUAAUUGAUGGGGUCAGCGCAAGCGAAGCUCCUGAUCGAAGCCCCGGUAAACGGCGGCCGUAACUAUAACGGUCCUAAGGUAGCGAAAUUCCUUGUCGGGUAAGUUCCGACCUGCACGAAUGGCGUAAUGAUGGCCAGGCUGUCUCCACCCGAGACUCAGUGAAAUUGAACUCGCUGUGAAGAUGCAGUGUACCCGCGGCAAGACGGAAAGACCCCGUGAACCUUUACUAUAGCUUGACACUGAACAUUGAGCCUUGAUGUGUAGGAUAGGUGGGAGGCUUUGAAGUGUGGACGCCAGUCUGCAUGGAGCCGACCUUGAAAUACCACCCUUUAAUGUUUGAUGUUCUAACGUGGACCCGUGAUCCGGGUUGCGGACAGUGUCUGGUGGGUAGUUUGACUGGGGCGGUCUCCUCCUAAAGAGUAACGGAGGAGCACGAAGGUUGGCUAAUCCUGGUCGGACAUCAGGAGGUUAGUGCAAUGGCAUAAGCCAGCUUGACUGCGAGCGUGACGGCGCGAGCAGGUGCGAAAGCAGGUCAUAGUGAUCCGGUGGUUCUGAAUGGAAGGGCCAUCGCUCAACGGAUAAAAGGUACUCCGGGGAUAACAGGCUGAUACCGCCCAAGAGUUCAUAUCGACGGCGGUGUUUGGCACCUCGAUGUCGGCUCAUCACAUCCUGGGGCUGAAGUAGGUCCCAAGGGUAUGGCUGUUCGCCAUUUAAAGUGGUACGCGAGCUGGGUUUAGAACGUCGUGAGACAGUUCGGUCCCUAUCUGCCGUGGGCGCUGGAGAACUGAGGGGGGCUGCUCCUAGUACGAGAGGACCGGAGUGGACGCAUCACUGGUGUUCGGGUUGUCAUGCCAAUGGCACUGCCCGGUAGCUAAAUGCGGAAGAGAUAAGUGCUGAAAGCAUCUAAGCACGAAACUUGCCCCGAGAUGAGUUCUCCCUGAGACUUAAAGUCUCCUGAAGGAACGUUGAAGACGACGACGUUGAUAGGCCGGGUGUGUAAGCGCAGCGAUGCGUUGAGCUAACCGGUACUAAUGAACCGUGAGGCUUAACCUUACAACGCCGAAG